UCCCAGGGAGGAAAGUCAGCUGACCUGCUGUGGGCUCGGCUUCCGGUGUUUUGCUCUAAAGCUGCGUGCGUUGCUGUUUAACAGAAAUUGGUCAGCCUGCGCUUUAUACUUACAGCGCUAGAUGGCGUCAGUGCAGAGACACUGCAGUGCCCCUGCGUUAACCAUGCAAAUGAGGAAAAAUAUCCUAGUGGAUAGCAGAGGAUCAAGAGGAAAGACACCACGGUCCAUGGGAUACUCUGUACUCUACCAGAUGUAGGGAAGUUCACAGAAGAAAAUCCCUGAUAACCAGAACUCAGAAAGAGCAGGAGCCAAAAGAGCUCCAGGCAUCUACAGGGCACCACAACGGGAGGAACUAUCUUCAACCUCCUGUAAGAAGAGUCCGAUUUUCUAGUUUCAGUUCUGUAUUCUACAAUCUUUAUUUAUAGUCAUAUCCAUUUUUAUUAUAAUUGUGUUGUAAAUAAAAUUUUUGUGUUCUGCUU